GGAUGCUGCAGAUUCUGGUGGAAUAUUGGAAUGUGGCUAAAGUUAGCUAUUGGGUGGCAACAACUACAACAACAACAGUAGAAAAUCAAAUGAGAGCAGUGAAGAUAAAUGAGAACAGAUAAGCAGAUAAAACGGUUCUGACAAGGACGGCUGGCUGCUGUGAGUGACAGGAUUCGUGACGACAGUUUGUUGCAGAAAUGGGUUUUCUGUCCGCCGGUAUUUCAGUCCGUCGGUAUUUCUGUCCGUCGGUAUUUCAGUCCGUCGGUAUUUCAGUCCGUUCGGAUAAUUCUGUUAAAUAUCAAACACCUUAUAAAAGAAAAUCUUUUAAAUAAUUUUUUUUUGUAUAUCAAUAUGUUUUUCAACAUAAGAUCAAACGCAAGUCAACCUAGGCUUGAGCUCAAACCUAUAACUCGUGCACGCUGGGAUUAAAUCCGGCCAACGGACUGAUUCGUAUAUCAAAACGAAAGAUAGCCUACCUUUACAUAUAAACAUAUAACUUGGUUUGUUUUACAUUUUUCUUUUUUUAUAUUAUUUAAAAGUUCUAGUCCCAUAUGUCGCGUUGUUCGAGUAAAGGGUAUUUACUACUAGGUCGAAAACCAGAUACUUGGGCACCACAGGAUAGCUGGUGCUGAUCUGUCAACAGAGUCCCACGAUGGAUGGUGUAGCUUUAAGUUUUGGCUUUUUACUUUUUUUACUUAGUUUUAGAUUUAGUUUUAUUUUAUACCUAGUUUUAAGUUUAAAUGAAAUUGUUUGGUGAGAAGAGGUAUAUAAAAUACAGCUAAAAAAUCAUUGAAUUCGUUUUGUGUGAAAGAGAGGGAAAUAGCCUUUUGCUCGUGACGUCUCUGUAUACCCUGUGUUACUACUAUUGAUGCUCCCGCAUUGCAGAAGAAAUUCUAUGCUAAACGUUCAAUAUUCUUUGUUAAACUACCAAAAAUUCAAAGGUGGAGGUGCCAAGUCAUCUCACAAUAAACAAAUUGUUAAUGAACAGAAGAAAAAGGUUUGUAAUAAUUAUGUAUACUAGUUUCAGCUGAAUCCUUUCUAUUUAUAUUCAAAAUUAUUAAGCCUAUUUUUGUAUAGU